AUGGCUGAGGCAACUUACAGGAAUUGAUGGAUAAUACCGCAUAACGUCCCAGGACCAAAGAGGGGGACCUUCGGGCCUCUUGCCAUCGAAUGUGCCCAAAUGGAAUUAGCUAGUAGGUGGGGUAACGGCUCACCUAGGCAACAAUCCCUAGCUGGUCUAAAAGGAUGACCAGCCACACUGGAACUGAAACACGGUCCAAACUCCUACGGGAGGCAGCAUUGGGAAAUAUUGCACAAUGGGCCCAAGCCUGAUGCACCCUUGCCGCGUGUAUAAAGAAGGCCUUCGGGUUGUAAAGUACUUUCACCGGGAAGGAAGGAAGUAAAGUUAAUACCUUUGCUCAUUGACUUUCCCCGCAAAAAAACCACCGGCUAACUCCGUGCCACCACCCGCGGUAAUACGGAGGGUGCAAGCUUUAAUCGAAAUUACUGGGCUUAAAGCCCACCCAGGCGGUUUGUUAAGUCAAAUGUGAAAUCCCCGGGCUCAACCUGGAAACUGCUUCUAAUCCUGGCAAGCUUGAUUCUCGUAAAGGGGGGUAAAAUUCC
rnacentral:rRNA from 1 species